AGGCCGAGCAGACUGCAGCGCGGAAGCAGUGAGGCAGAGGGCUCUGCUGUGCCCAGAGCUGCUCUCACCACAAGCCUCCACGGAUGGCCCUCUUCCCGCAGUACCAAUUCCAGCCCUUCCAGUGGAAAGAAAAUAGAGUUCAAUAGCAAGAUCUGCCAAGCGAGGACUCUUUCCACACACAUGAGACAAGACUGUAAAUCUGCUUUGGAACCAACAGAUGCCUCCACUGUCAUUCACAAUGGGUUUCACUUCUUUCCUGGAUGAACGUACUGAGGAGCUGAAAUUGGGAAGCAGACCUCCUCCAAAUUGGACUGCAAAUGUAAAACCUCCAGCCUGACCAAAAGCAGCCUGAUGACCCAUAUAAAGUGGAAAUUCAAGUCAAUUUGAGGCACAGAGGGAAAGGAAGGGAUUUUCUUCCUCUCUUGAGUAGGGAAAGCCAAAACUAUCACAGCAGAAGGACCCGUAGACUACUCUUUGGCUAACUGCACCCAUGGAAAAAGCAACAGAAAUAUCCACACCUGUUACAUUCUGGUCACUUUAAGCUGCUUUCUGGGUCCCAUGAACCAUCAGACUCAUUAAAUUUGGCACUGGGGCUAUGGCUGAGACAGUCACAGCUGUCAAGUAACAGCUUUGAGUCAGCCUGAAGAAAGAAGCAAAGGAGCCAGGGUGUUUCCAGCGACCCAGUAACAGUUGGUGUUCCCAGAGAGCGCUGCAUGGGAGCCCCACUGUGUCACUGCAUCCCACACUACACUGAGGCACCAGAGAACAGUGCUCAAUUGCAACCACGUAGCAAGAACCAGAAGCCAAUAUAGCCAAUUACAAGAUUAUUAACUGCAAGCUCCUCCUCCUAUCCAUAAAACAAACGUAGACCCCCACGUAAAUGAUUUCAUUGAAUGGAAGGGACUUUGUCCUAUGGCUCAUGGAGUCUUCAUGUGGCACUAGGAGCGCACAGUGACAAACAUUUUGUGCACCAGCACAAUGCUGCAAUUACCCUGUCAUGGUAUGCUUUAAUCAGGAUGAUUUUGGGGGAGCCUGUGGCUGGGAAGUUCCUGGAAUACCAGAAGCCACCUCCCUCAGCCUGGGCAGGAGGCGGCCACCAGCGCAGUCAGCUGGCUGAAAAGCUGCUGCUGCUUCAGCUCUGCAAGGCAGGAUUAAAGAACAGAAGGUGGUUGCAGCAUAAAUCUAUUGAACGUGGGUUACAUCGAGGGUACUAUGUCACAUCACCUGCCAGGCUGGCUUCCAAACACCUGGCUGCAAUGGAGGCAGCCUUUGUUUCCUUCCAAAAGAUCACAGCUAAAGCAUGCACAGCCUCUUCUGGAGCGGUGAGGGUUAACUCAGGCGAGCAAACAAGGGCUGAAGAUCAGCUCAUCUUUUCCAUUCAGACAGAUCCUGCUACAGAAAAUGCUGGUUUCUCGAUGCUCGGUGUCUCAGUGACUUCCAGGAACAGUGAGCUAAACACAGCUACUCUUCCCAGCACCAGCUGAGGGGGCGGCAGGGGAUGGAACACAGCCCUGUUCUUGGAAGGCAGGAAAAAAUAAGGCUCUGGCAGAGCUGUGCAAGCCUGCCUCUCCCUCCUCCCCUCCCCAAUAGCCUCUUUCAGCAUCUCUAAUUCCUCAGGGUACAGCUGCGUUGGUUUUUCCUUUAUCAAAUAAGCGUAACGGCAAUGCAUGAAAACUGCAGGCAAUUUUCAAGCAGAGAGAGGUUAAGUAAAUCAAAUAAAUAAAUGAUAAGC
rnacentral:lncRNA from 7 species